rnacentral:rRNA from 1 species
CCUACGGGCGGCAGCAGUGGGGAAUAUUGGGCAAUGGGCGCAAGCCUGACCCAGCAACGCCGCGUGAAGGAAGAAGGCUCUCGGGUUGUAAACUUCUUUUAUCAGGGACGAAGCAAGAGACGGUAACUGAUGAAUAAGCCACGGAUAACUACGUGCCAGCAGCCGCGGUAAUACGUAGGUGGCAAGCGUUAUCCGGAUUUACUGGGUGUAAAGGGCGUGUAGGCGGGAAAGCAAGUCAGAUGUGAAAACCAUGGGCUCAACCUGUGGCCUGCAUUUGAAACUGUUUUUCUUGAGUACUGGAGAGGCAGGCGGAAUUCCUAGUGUAGCGGUGAAAUGCGUAGAUAUUAGGCGGAACACCAGUGGCGAAGGCGGUCUGCUGGACAGCAACUGACGCUGAGGCGCGAAAGCGUGGGGAGCGAACAGGAUUAGAUACCCUUGUAGUC